UACGAAGGGUGCAAGCGUUACUCGGAAUUACUGGGCGUAAAGGGUGCGUAGGUGGUUUUUUAAGUCCGUUGUGAAAUCCCUGGGCUCAACCCGGGAAUGUCAGUCGAUACUGCGUGGCUAGAGUUCGGUAGAGGACGGCAGAAUUCCCGGUGUAGCGGUGAAAUGCGUAGAGAUCGGGAGGAAUACCGAUGGCGAAAGCAACCGUCUGGGCCUGAACUGACACUGAGACACGAAAGCGUGGGGAGCAAACAGG
rnacentral:rRNA from 1 species